rnacentral:lncRNA from 1 species
UCGAUACCACAGAGCUAAGGAAUAAUGUCAAGAAAAAAACCAAAAUAACCACUUAUGUUAAACCGAAAGUCAUCAAAGUGAAAGAUGUCAGCCUACAGAAUAUCUGUGAUUCAAGAAAAUGGAAAAUGUGGGGAAAAUAGUCACCCUAACAUUUAUACCUCUGGGCCAUCUCUGUGGCCAUUUAGUGUAUGGCUCUGGAAUCUUGAAAAGAAUUAAACCAACCCACAGAAACCAAACUUUCUGUAUUAAGAAUCUGACUAACUCAAAGGCCCCAACUCUAAUUUCUCCAUGAUUAGGGAUGAAGUAUCCUAGAUGAUGUCAAUUCCAAAGAACUCAGUGUGUACAAUAACAUUAUAAUGAGUUUUUACUGAGAUCUGAAAUACUGAGAUGCAGUGAUUGACUUUAAUCACAAAUUUGCUUCAUAAAAAGCAGUAAAAAUCACCACAGAAUUAUAUUACUCCGUGUCAUUUUCGUAUAUGCAAUAU